GACGAACGCUGGCGGCGUGCCUAAUACAUGCAAGUAGAACGCACAGUUUAUACCGUAGCUUGCUACACCAUAGACUGUGAGUUGCGAACGGGUGAGUAACGCGUAGGUAACCUGCCUGGUAGCGGGGGAUAACUAUUGGAAACGAUAGCUAAUACCGCAUAAUAUUAAUUAUUGCAUGAUAAUUGAUUGAAAGAUGCAACUGCAUCACUACCAGAUGGACCUGCGUUGUAUUAGCUAGUAGGUGAGGUAACGGCUCACCUAGGCGACGAUACAUAGCCGACCUGAGAGGGUGAUCGGCCACACUGGGACUGAGACACGGCCCAGACUCCUACGGGAGGCAGCAGUAGGGAAUCUUCGGCAAUGGACGAAAGUCUGACCGAGCAACGCCGCGUGAGUGAAGAAGGUUCUCGGAUCGUAAAGCUCUGUUGUAAGAGAAGAACGGGUGUGAGAGUGGAAAGUUCACACUGUGACGGUAGCUUACCAGAAAGGGACGGCUAACUACGUG
rnacentral:rRNA from 1 species